CAACAGUCAGUCUACUGAGAGUGCUGGUAGCGUGAAGACGCAGUCUGUCCCAGUGCAUGCGCUGAGACGCUACCUCCCCCCGGCAGGGGAGAGUAAGGAGAGGGAUCCCUGCACGGAAAGUGAAGCCACGCGUAGACGACCAAGCGACGCUGGCUUCUCGCAUCGGAGCAGAGGAAGAUCGCAAAGAUGCCGGAUCAGCUGAAUUUUAAAACUAACAAGGAGACGAUAAACCUGCAAAAGCCGGAGACAGCGUCAGCUAAGACGCAUCUCCGGCAUCGAUACCGGCGGCGGGAAUUUUCCCACCUGGAACAGUAGCAGUAGCAGACUCCUCACAGACACCAGGGGCGACAACACUGACGCUAAGAUCAACAGGGCAGAAGAACGUCUCAAUCGAUUCUCAAGAAUAACGUCGUCGCGAUCGCUUUUAUUAUUGCAUACCCUAUAAACUUGCCGCGAGAAAAAAAUAUUUAACUAUUCAAAGCAAAAAGCUAGUCAUAGUCGCUACUACAGUAGAGGAUUAUGCGUCGACAUAUUCCUAUGCGGAUUGUAGCAACCGCUGCGUUAGUUGUUGUGCAACUACUCAGCUUGGUCGGGCAUCAUUGAAACCAUGAAAUUCAAUCACAAUUAAUAUCACUAUUUCAUGGGAUCACAUAUCAAUGAUAGAGGGGGCCCUUCCAAGUGAACCGAGCACAACUUCCGCAGUCAGCGUGUUGCUAUCAAUCUUCCUGAGAAGCGUCGGACUAGCCUGGCAGUUAAAAUUUUGGAAUUUUAUAUAUAUAUACGAAUCAAGUGUUUCUCACUUCACUCGCGAGUAAGGUUUACCAAACGCCACCUGUUGACAACAGUUUUGCGCCUCUCAUGUAGAUCUAGACGGCACUGCCCGAGAGAGAGGGAACUGUAGUUGACGGCUAUGGAUCCGCUAGGUGCGAGGAGAUAUAAACGAGCAUCAAGUUAUCACCAAUUAUUCCGAGAAACAUUGUUCUACCGACGGCUCUAAUUUUUGAAUCUUUAUAUAAAUCACCCAAGUGCGAAUCUUUAUCAUUUCACCUUUGUAUUUACAUAAAUGUUGGUCUACGUAACAAAAUAAAUCAAUAAAUAAAUAAAAACCAUUUUAUA